GACGAACGCUGGCGGCGUGCCUAAUACAUGCAAGUCGAACGCAGUGGGGACGGGUGAGUAACACGUGGGUAACCUGCCAUCAGAGGGGAUAACACUUGGAAAAAGGUGCUAAACCGAUACGGAUGGCUGGACGCGCGGGGCAUUAGCUAGUUGGUGAGGUAACGGCUCACCAAGGCCACGAUGCAUAGCCGGCCUGAGAGGGUGAGCGGCCACACUGGGACUGAGAACCGGCCCAGACUCCUACGGGAGGCAGCAGUAGGGAAUAUUCGGCAAUGGACGAAAGUCUGACCGAGCAACGCCGCGUGAGUGAAGAAGGUCUUCGGAUCGUAAAACACUUUCGUUCGAGAAGCGUUAUCUAACCAAAAAGCCCCGGCUAACUCCGUGCCAGCAGCCGCGGUAAUAC
rnacentral:rRNA from 1 species